AUGAACGCUGACAGAAUGCUUCACACAUGCAAGUCGAUGGGGAAGUGGUGCUUGCACCAUGGUAACCAUGGCGGACGGGUGAGUAACGCGUAAGGAACUUGCCUGCGGGACUGGGAUAACAGCAGGAAACUGCUGAUAAUACCGGAUAAGGUCAUUAAGCUGCAUAGCUUAGUGAUGAAAGGAGACGCCUGCGGAGAGCCUUGCGUCCUAUUAGCUAGUUGGAGGGGUAACGGCCCACCAAGGCGAAGAUAGGUAGCCGGCCUGAGAGGGUGGACGGCCACAAGGGGACUGAGAUACGGCCCUUACUCCUACGGGAGGCAGCAGUGGGGAAUAUUGGACAAUGGGGGCAACCCUGAUCCAGCAAUUCUGUGUGCACGAAGACGGUUUUCGGAUUGUAAAGUGCUUUCAGCAGGGAAGAAGGAAGUGACGGUACCUGCAGAAGAAGCGACGGCUAAAUACGUG
rnacentral:rRNA from 1 species